AAUCAACGCUGGCGGCGUGCCUAACACAUGCAAGUCGAACGGGAAAGUGGAGCAAUCCAUGAGUAUAGUGGCGACCGGGUGAGUAACACGUGACUAACCUACCUUCAAGUGGGGGAUAACCUCGGGAAACCGGGGCGUAAUACCGCAUAAUAUCUCUGUUAUGAGAAAGCAGGGAUCAAAGGAGCAAUUCGCUGGAAGAGGGGGUCGCGGCUGAUUAGCUAGUUGGUGGGGUAAGUGGCCCACCAAGGCUUUGAUCGGUAGCCGGCCUGAGAGGGCGCACGGCCACACUGGAACUGAAACACGGUCCAGACUCCUACGGGAGGCGAGCAGUGGGGAAGUUUUGUCGCAAUGGGGGAAACCCGUGACGCAGCAACGCCGCGUGGAGGAUGAAGUCCCUUGGGACGUAAACUCC
rnacentral:rRNA from 1 species